UGAGAAUUCAUAUGCCAUUGAGGA
rnacentral:siRNA from 1 species